rnacentral:rRNA from 1 species
AGCGAACGCUGGCGGCAGGCUUAACACAUGCAAGUCGAACGCCCGUAGCAAUACGGGAGUGGCAGACGGGUGAGUAACGCGUGGGAACAUGCCCUUUGGUUCGGAAUAACUCAGGGAAACUUGAGCUAAUACCGGAUGAGCCCGAGAGGGGAAAGAUUUAUCGCCGAAGGAUUGGCCCGCGUCCGAUUAGCUAGUUGGUGAGGUAAUGGCUCACCAAGGCGACGAUCGGUAGCUGGUCUGAGAGGAUGAUCAGCCACACUGGGACUGAGACACGGCCCAGACUCCUACGGGAGGCAGCAGUGGGGAAUAUUGGACAAUGGGGGCAACCCUGAUCCAGCCAUGCCGCGUGAGUGAUGAAGGCCCUAGGGUUGUAAAGCUCUUUCGGCGGGGACGAUAAUGACGGUACCCGCAGAAGAAGCCCCGGCUAACUUCGUGCCAGCCGCCGCGGUAAGAC